rnacentral:tRNA from 1 species
UCCCUGAUAGCUCAGUUGGUAAAGAAUCUGCCUGCAAUGCAGGAGACCCUAGUUCGAUCCCUGGGUCGGGAA